rnacentral:misc_RNA from 1 species
GUAUAUAUUCGUGCUGUUACGCACUAUAACAUCAUCCGUUCCGUAACGUACAUGGGUUUAUAAAAAAUCAUAGCUAGGGCUUUCGACGUCAUUUCUAACGUCGUAAUCAUCCCCAAGCUACACGCAGUGCACAGGUGUGAGAGGUAGACGUGCGAUCGAGGCGUGCACAUGCCCCAAAAGGCCAGCUACAACCCUUCUCGACAUUCGUUUCAUUAAUGAUCCUUCCGCAGGUUCACCUACGGAAA